rnacentral:rRNA from 1 species
AACUUUCAACAACGGAUCUCUUGGCUCUCGCAUCGAUGAAGAACGCAGCGAAAUGCGAUACGUAAUGUGAAUUGCAGAAUUCAGUGAAUCAUCGAAUCUUUGAACGCAUAUUGCGCUCUUUGGUAUUCCGAAGAGCAUGCUUGUUUGAGUAUCAGUAAACACCUCAAAGCCUUUUUCUUUUUUUUUUAUUUUGAAAAGAGAAAGACUUUGGACUUGAGCAAUCCCAACACUUUUUUUUCUUAAAGAAAGUGGCGGGUUGCUUGAAAUGCAGGUGCAGCUGGACAUUCUCCUGAGCUAAAAGCAUAUUCAUUU